rnacentral:lncRNA from 1 species
GUUAUUGCCGCCAUAGUUACCGGCUACCGGUGUUUGAUUCCAUAUUGAUCGCUCCUAACACGUUCGGGGUUGUUAUGGGGACCCCCUCGAUAAAUCGCAUAGUGUUAAGACUUGUCCGGCAGGACCCAACAUUGGUGUUAAUUUGCUAAUCACUUAAUAAUAAUCUGCAUAGGGAAUGAUCACCACGAGGAUCUUUACUCGACAACC